GGUUAUAGCGACGGGGCUCCACCUCUUCCCAUUCCGAACAGAGAAGUUAAGCCCGUUAGCGCCGAUGGUACUGCGUCAAGUGGGAGAGUAGGUCGCCGCCAACC
rnacentral:rRNA from 1 species